rnacentral:lncRNA from 1 species
CUCCUGAUCCAGCUGGGCCAUCGGGAAGAAAGAUAGGGGGAUUGGAGAUGGACUUCUUGGAGGGUGGAGAUUCUUUUAAUUUUCUCCUCUCGGUUUCUUGUCCCCUCUUGGGUUGUAGAGAGAGAAAAGGAGGGAGGGGGUUGAAUGGCUGCUAUGCUGUGAUGUUGGAGUUGCUGCUUGGGUACUCACUUGAAGGGGAGAUGGUGGGAUGGGACUUUUAUUAAUUAGAUGGAGUGAAUUUCCCAUAAUGCCCCUACUUUCUCUUAUAGAGAGGUUCCUUUCUGAACAAAUUCUUUUCUUUACCUUGACUAUGAAGUGCCAUGGGAUGACCUUUUCCUAUUCGGCUCUUGCUUGACAUGGUAAACAGUAUUGCCAAGCAUUAUCUCAGUUAUUUAAUCAGUUUCAUGGCCCCUUUUUUAGAGAAAUUACUUUUAUGUGCUUUCAUUUAAGAAUUAUAUUAAAUUGAAAAGGCUUCUUAUCUAUCUUUGUUAGAUUCAUGUAUCUUUGUUGAAAUAGUGUACUUGAUAGCUAUCCAUUCCCAUAUCA